ACACCCUACCUUGUGAAAUCAUACUUACAGUCUGAAACACUCUGUAUAAUUACAAUGUUCAUCCCUGAUAUGGCAGCUGGUUGUCUGUUUUUGGUCAUCGUCCUUCUAUAUACCUUUCAAUACAUCAAAGCCCAAGUUCAGAAACCAGUGAUUAGUACCAGUCAUAAUGAGGAGGAUUUCAUCAUCACCUGUUUGAUUCCUGGAAUUGCUGGUAACGACACCUGCUGUAACCUGUAUAUUGGAGAGAAGAAUAAGCCAUUCUUGAAAACACGGAUAUGGAAAAAGAAAACCCAAAAAACCAAGCAAUGGUACUGUACAUUCUCUGUGACCGAAGACGAUCUGAUCAGACAUCUACAGUCAGUGAGGAGUAAGGCGGUGAGCUGUGACUACAGAGUGAACUCAGGAACAAACUCUCUCUCUCCACGUAGUGAUGGAUACAGCUUUACAGAUCUGGUGGAAGUUCACAUCAGUGAUCCAACAACUAUUACAGCAGGAUUGACCUCUCCUUUGACCCCCAGCACAGCAGUGAAUCCUACGUCAGGUUGGACUGUUCUUUCUACUUUGACCACUGACACCGCAAAGAUUUCAACUGAAGGAGGUCAAAGCUACACAGAAAGUGAGGUUUUUUCAAACAGUCAAGAAAGCGUUCCAGCAUGUUCAACUGUUGCUUCUACUUUGACCCUUGACAUCACAGUGAGACCAACUACCAGUUUGACCUCUCCUUUGACCUCCAGCACAGCAGUGACUACUACAUCAGGUUCGACUGUUCGUUCAACUUUGACUACUGACACCACACUAAGUCCAACGGAAGGAAAAGGCUCCACAGAAAGUAUUCUGUCGGGGCAGGUUUGGCAGGCAGCAGUGGCUGUGGUUUCUGGAGUGGGUGUGUUCCUGGUGGGAUUGACUGCUUUCUGUCUCUGCAGGAGCACCAAGAAAAACAAUUCUCAGAGACCUACAGCCAGACAGGAUGAUGACAACCAAUAUGAUUUGGUGUUGGGAGCCAUGAGCAGUGCAGCCAUGAUGGAUUCUGGGGAAGCUGGGAUAUACAGUCUGAUCACCUCUGUACCAGCCACGUUUUUGCCCUCAGGUCCUGUGCAGGUAUCUGCACAUGAAGAUGUCGAUUCAGGGAAUACAGGGAUCUAUAGGCUGAUCACUGCACCACGCACAUCUAUACCUUCAGGCCCUAUUGAAGAGAAUGGACAGUCAUUUGAAAACUACACAAUAACUUGGUGAUUGGAGCUGUGAACAGUGGAGGCAUGGUGGAUUCUGGGGAUGCUGGGAUGUAUUCUCUGAGCAUCUCUGUACCGUCCACAUUUUUGGCCUCAGGUAAGUCCAUUCUGUUUCUAACUAAACGUCUUCUGUCCAUGUCUUCCCGACCUGGAACGUGAAUUUGAGACCCUCAGCACAACAAAACUUUGUCACUCAAUAUCAACAGUACUAACUUUUAACAGAAAAUGAUGUGUUAGUCAGAGCAUCUGGGUAGCGUGAGAACAGAACUGUAAGUCUACAGGGUGGUUUGAGUCAGGAGGAGAAGUGUGAUGUGACAUUAUCACAUCAUGCUUUCACUUCUUCUGUUCUGCUGUUAUUAAUGCACUGGGGCAAAACUUGGUAAAGUAACACACACAUGACCCGACCAGCAGUCACAACCUCUUAAUCAUGGCAUUGUCUUUCUGUGAUGUACAGGACCUGUUGGUGUGGAUACACAGGGAUCUGCAAAUUAAGAUAUAAGUACAACAAAUAUAAUUAUAUUACUUUGUCUAAAUAAUUGUUUGCGAACAGACAGCUGAGGAGGAUAAAAGGUCUCUCUCUCUCUCUGUACCAAUCACAUUCAUGCUCACAGGUGAGUUAAUUCAGACUGCUUAUACAUUAUUAAUAAUAAUAUAUUGGAUUCAUAUAGCUCAAGUUGUAUUUAAAACAGGAAGGAGUAUGUCAGAACAUCUUGGGAGUGUGAGAACCGAGCUGUACACUCUUACUUUCACUUCUGUUCUGAUGUAAUGCACUGUCACUCACUCACUCACUCACUCACUCACUCACUCACUCACUCACUCACUCACUCACUCACUCACUCACUCACUCACUCACUCACUCACUCACUCACUCAGGCUCCCUCUGUGUUGUUCAGGCCCUGUUAAAGCCAAUCGAAAGUCACCUGAAAACAACGUAAAUUCAUAAUCUGUAGCUUUGUCUCACACGUCUCACAAAUACCUUCACACAUGAUGUCCUUUGUUUAACCAUAACAUCACCGGGGGCAAACUACCAGCCCUCCAGGACACCUACAGCACCCAAUGUCACAGGAAGACCAAAUAUCAUCAAGGACAUCAACCACACGAGCUAAGGCCUAUACACCCUGCUACCAUCCAGAAGGCGAGAGGGUGAUGGAGCUGGAUGCUGAUGAAAACCUUCACAAAUUCCUCUUUUUGGAUGUAGCAGGCUUCAACCUGGCCAAGACAAGGAGGAGAGGUUGGAAUUUCAUUGGCCAGCGGGCAACCAACCAAGUACCUGGACAACAUGGGGCCAACAUCACCAUGUGUGCGGCUAUAUCGGAAGACGGUGUGGUGGGACGCAGACCUCGUAUUGGAUCAUAUAAAGCAGCUCUCCUUGUGUAACCUUCUUGAUGAGAUAAAUCAGGUCUGUAGAGCGGAUGUCGUGGUGGGACGCAGACCUCGUAUUGGAUCAUAUAAAGCAGCUCUCCUUGUGUAACCUUCUUGAUGAGAUAAAUCUGUAUUUUUAGAGCUGAUGUUGUGACCUAUGUCAUUGCGUGGGAUAAUGUCAGGUUCUACCAUGCUCAAAUGGUGCAAGCACGGUUUCAGGCCCAUCCACAAUUUAUCACCCUGUACUUACCCCUAUACUCUCCUUUCCUUAACCCGAUUGAGACAUUUUUCUCCAAGUGGAGGUGAAAGGUAUAUGAUAGGCGCCCUCAGGAACAAGCCACCCUUCUCCAGGCCAUGGAUGAUGUAUGCAAUGACAUCACGGCAUACCAGUGUCAGGCCUGGAUUCACCCUGCCCGAAGAUUCUUCUCAAGAUGUUUGGCCAAUGAAAACAUCCAUUGAUGAGAACCUUUGGCCAAAUCCACAAGACAGGUUUGAUGGAAAUAUAGAAGUACAGUAAUCAACCCUUUGUUUUGCUUUUUACAGUAAGCCAGGUGAGGAACACUACAGUUGACAUUUUACUGUAGUGUUUUUCUUUUUUGAAGCUAAUCAUUUUUGCAUUGAUUCAAGGAGACCUGACCUAUGUUGUGAUUUUAUUGUAUUUCAUCAAUACCUUUCAGAUUUUGUUCAAUGAUUCCAAUGUGUCUGUAGUAUUCUCUUUGCUAGUCAUUUUACAGUGAUGUAUUACGUGUAGUACCAUAAUGAAACACGUAUCACAUAUUUUGUACUACAAUAUUUACAUUGCUCAAUCUAAUAAUUAUAUAUUUCUUAAUUACAUUCUUUUACUUUUAGAUGAGUGUAUAUUGUUGUGAAUUGUUAGAUAUUACUUUACUCUUGGAGCUAGAAAGACAAGCCUUUCUCUACAUACCCUUUCUCUGAUCUGUUUCACCUGUCUUGUGCUUGUCUCCACCCCCCACCAGGUGUCUCCCAUUUGUCCCCAUUACCUCACUGUGUAUUUAUACACUAUGAAGUACCUCAGAAAACAAACGUUCACUUCCAAAACCCAUCUACUCACACACAAAAAGAAUGUACUUAAAACACGCACAACCCUUUUUACAAAAAAAACACAUAGAGAGAGAGAGAGAGAGACAGACAGAGACAGACAGAGAGACAGAGAGAGACAGACAGACAGACAGACAGACAGACAGACAGACAGACAGACAGACAGACAGACAGACAGACAGACAGACAGACAGACAGACAGACAGACAGACAGACAGACAGACAGACACAGACAGACAGACAGACAGACAGACAGACAGACAGACAGACAGACAGACAGACAGACAGACAGACAGACAGACAGACAGACAGAUGAGAAUAUCAAUUAGGUUUAUUGAGAUUUUAGCAGCCUUCUUAAAGGAAGGGGGUUUGGGUUCAAGGGUAGGGGUCAGCAUUAGGGGUUAUAGUCAAGGUAACUAUAACAUUCUUAAAACAGGCAAAUGUUCAUAUUUCAGUUUGCAGCCAGAGCUCUGAACUUGAUUCCUUUCAUGGAACUUAAGUAUGUUUGUUUUUAUCCAUCACAUGCAUCUUUUUACUCUGUAUGAAAUGUUCACUGCUGUAAAAAUUAAAAGCAGGCUAAAUAAAUUGACUUCAACCAU